AGGUUGAUGGGCUCAGAAUGUAUGACUCUAACAGUGGUCAUAUGUGGUGAUUCUUUUGAUUUUCUUGAAAAGCUUCUACGUAUUGAAGUAACAAUAUUUUUUUCCUUCAGAUAAUCAAGAGUGAGGACAACAAACUUAGUGAUGGAGGUGGAGGUGUCAAACCAUUUAGAAAUAAGAAACCAUGAAGAUUCUAAAGAUUUUGUUUUAAUCGAUUAGAGAAUGAAAAUUUUGGUAUUUUAUCGACAUGAGUUGGAGCAUGGGUUGUUUUGUAUUUAUUUUUAUUGUAGAAUUUUCUCUCAUUCUGUAAUUUGUCU